ACUGCUCAGUAACACGUGGACAACCUACCCUCAGCACGGGGAUAAACCCGGGAAACUGGGUAUAAUACCCGAUAGUUCUGGGAUGCUGGAAUGCGCCCAGGACGAAAGCUCCGGCGACUGAGGAUGGGUCUGCGGCCUAUCAGGUAGUAGUGGGUGUAAUGUACCUACUAGCCUACGACGGGUACGGGUUGUGAGAGCAAGAGCCCGGAGAUGGAUUCUGAGACACGAAUCCAGGCCCUACGGGGUGCAGCAGGCGCGAAAACUUUACAAUGCUGGCAACAGCGAUAAGGGGACCUCGAGUGCCAGGAUACAAUCUUGGCUGUCGUAAUGCCUAAAAAGCAUUGCAUAGCAAGGGCCGGGCAAGACCGGUGCCAGCCGCCGCGGUAACACCGGCGGCUCGAGUGGUAACCGCUAUUAUUGGGUCUAAAGGGUCUGUAGCCGGCCGGAUAAGUCUCUUGGGAAAUCCAGCUGCUCAACAGUUGGGCUUUCAGGAGAUACUGUUCGGCUCGAGACCGGGAGAGGUGAGAGGUACUUCAGGGGUAGGGGUGAAAUCUUGUAAUCCUUGAAGGACCACCAGUGGCGAAGGCGUCUCACCAGAACGGAUCUGACGGCAAGGGACGAAAGCUAGGGGCACGAACCGGAUUAGAUACCCGGGUAGUCCUAGCCGUAAACGAUACUCGCUAGGUGUCGGCCACGGUGCGACCGUGGUCGGUGCCGUAGGGAAGCCGUGAAGCGAGCCACCUGGGAAGUACGGCCGCAAGGCUGAAACUUAAAGGAAUUGGCGGGGGAG
rnacentral:rRNA from 1 species